CCUACGGGAGGCAGCAGUAAGGAAUAUUGGACAAUGCUCGCAAGAGUGAUCCAGCCAUGCCGCGUGCAGGAAGAAUGCCCUAUGGGUAGUAAACUGCUUUUGAACUAGAGAAAACCCCAGUACGCGUACUGGGCUGAUAGUAUAGUUAGAAUAAGCAUCGGCUAACUUCGUGCCAGCAGCCGCGGUAAGACGAAGGAUGCAAGCGUUAUCCGGAUUCAUUGGGUUUAAAGGGAGCGUAGGUGGACUGAUAAGUCAGUGGUGAAAUCUCCGAGCUUAACUCGGAAAUUGCCAUUGAUACUGUUGGUCUUGAGUACAGUUGCUGUGGGCGGAAUAUGACAUGUAGUGGUGAAAUACAUAGAGAUGUCAUAGAACACCGAUUGCGAAGGCAGCUCACAAAGCUGUAACUGACACUGAGGCUCGAAAGUGCGGGGAUCAAACAGGAUUAGAUACCCUGGUAGUCCGCACCGUAAACGAUGAUUACUCGCUGCUAGGGGGCAACCUUUAGUGGCUUAGAGAAGAGAGAAGUAAUACACCGUCGGAGGACGCCGGCGACGGACGAACGACGAAGAAGUAGUUAGACGNGAGAGAGCGACGACGACGACGAGGAGGGAGGAGG
rnacentral:rRNA from 1 species